AGAGUUUGAUUAUGGCUCAGGAUGAACGCUGGCGGCGUGCCUAACACAUGCAAGUCGAGCGAUUCACUUCGGUGAAGAGCGGCGGACGGGUGAGUAACGCGUGGGUAACCUGCCUCAUACACAUGGAUAACAUACCGAAAGGUAUGCUAAUACAGGAUAAUAUAAGAGAUUCACAUGUAUUUCUUGUCAAAGCUCCGGCGGUAUGAGAUGGACCCGCGUCUGAUUAGUUAGUUGGUAAGGUAACGGCUUACCAAGGCGACGAUCAGUAGCCGACCUGAGAGGGUGAUCGGCCACAUUGGAACUGAGACACGGUCCAAACUCCUACGGGAGGCAGCAGUGGGGAAUAUUGCACAAUGGGCGAAAGCCUGAUGCAAGCAACGCCGCGUGAGUGAUGAAGGCCUUCGGGUCGUAAAACUCUGUCCUCAAGGAAGAUAAUGACGGUACUUGAGGAGGAAGCCCCGGCUAACUACGUGCCAGCAGCAGC
rnacentral:rRNA from 1 species